rnacentral:lncRNA from 1 species
UGUGAUCCGCCCGCCUCGGCCUCCCGGAGUGCUGGGAUUACAGGCAUGAGCCACUGCACCUGGCCAGGGCCAUGUUUUCUGGCCCAACCCUAUAGCCUGGGUUUCUAGAUCAUCAACAGGCUGCAAAGGUUUGAAAUUGAGUACCAGGGGGACCCGGAGCUGCAGCCCCUCUGGAGUUAUGAGAUUACCAGCUUGGUCUGAGCAUCCUUCCGGCUGUCAUCUGCCAUCAAACACAGAUUUGCAGACCAGAUGGCGGCUCUGUGUUCCUGAGAUGACUUCCUUGCCAGCUUCUGUUGCUACCACCUCACAGAGCCCACGCUGGCCAGCGGCCACAGGCUCAACCUGCACUUCCUAGGCAGCUACCUGACACUGCCCUGGCUACUGCUGGCUUUCUUCAUGGCCUCUCUGUUCUGCAUCAGGCCCCUCACCUGUGCACUGCUGUUCACCCUGGGCUACGCCCUCUACUCCUUGGCCAUGAUGUUGCUGACCAGGUGGGGAAGCUGCACCAGCCCUGAUGGCAUUGGAGGUGGGAGGCCACUCCAGGCACCAGGGAGAAGCAAUUUCCCCGGCCAUGUGCAUUAAGAGACAAUGGCAGAGUAUGACCUUCUGGGACGGAAGAAAUCUUCAGAUGGGCAUGCGUACAGUUUCCUAAACACACUGCGUGUGCUCAUCUCCCAAGGGAGCCCUAUUGAUGUGGCAGGAAGAUGUGGGGAAGAGGAGCUAGAACAGGCUGGGAUUGGGUAUGUUCCCUUCCUCCCUUGGGUUGGGUAUGUUGGCAUCUGGUAAAA